UCACUCUGGUUUCCCUUCAAAACGUAUAAAUCUUUCGCCUUUUACUAAAGAUUUCCGUGGAGGGAAACAAGUUAACGGGUCUUUAAACUAAUUUUUGUGUUUGCUCUGCUUAUGCAGCGGGGC
rnacentral:snRNA from 1 species